rfam:Mycobacterium sp. SP-6446 contig_168, whole genome shotgun sequence.
UCCCCUGUAGCUCAAUUGGCAGAGCGUUCGGCUGUUAACCGAAGGGUUCCUGGUUCGAGUCCAGGCGGGGGAG